UUCUUCGGGGCAGGGUGUAAUUCCCUACCGGCGGUAUAGUCCGCGAACUGCGAUGAGGCAGCUGAACUGGUGAGAUUCCAGUACCGACAGUAUAGUCUGGAUGAGAGAAGAUG
rnacentral:ncRNA from 1 species